rnacentral:rRNA from 1 species
AUGGUGGAGAUCAGCGAGGAGAAGAUGCGCAGGUUCGCGGGCAGGGAUACGCGCAUGCGGAUCCGCUUGAGGGAGAUCGGGGCGUGGUACCUGAACAAACGCGAGAUGUACGCGGAGGCAGAAGCAAUCAUGGAGAAUCUGACGGAGAAGGAGGAGAGAUCUCUGUUCGGGCGCGGUGGACGCAAGCACCCACUGCGGGUGCUACUGUGGGCGGCGGAUCAGGCGGAUUCGCCGGUGAGGGCGGUGGCGACGAAGUGGGUGGCCUUCACCAUCUUCGCGACCGCGGCCCUCGCCCCCGCCAUGAGGGAAACGGCGCUUCGCCCGCGGGAGGGGGUCCUAGCCCUUCCUACUCCGGGGACGGCUAUGGCUCCGAUCGAGAUUCACGAAGACCUGGUGGAUCAGGCGCCGCAGGAGACGGCGGGGGUGCGGCGUCGCUCCGCUCACCUAGUCGCGGCUUCAUCAACCUCUCAGAGGCUCCAGCGCCUCGUCGCUCAGCACGCCUCGCCGGAAACAGAGCCUGAACCCCUCACUGGCUGGCAACCAUUUCUGGGUGCUAGCUAG